GACAGAGGGUGCAAACGUUGUUCGGAUUUACUGGGCGUAAAGCGUGUGUAGGCGGCUUGGCAAGUUGGAUGUGAAAGCCCACGGCUCAACCGUGGAAGCGCAUCCAAAACUGCUUCGCUCGAGUCUCGGAGAGGAAGGUGGAAUGCUUGGUGUAGAGGUGAAAUUCGUAGAUAUGGGGGUGGAACACCGGUGGCGAAGGCGGCCAUCUGGACGGUAACUGACGCUGAGACGCGAAAGCGUGGGGAGCAAACAGG
rnacentral:rRNA from 1 species